GCGACACUAUGUGUUGUUGGGUAGGGGAGCGUUCUGUAAGCCUGUGAAGGUGGCCUGUGAGGGUUGCUGGAGGUAUCAGAAGUGCGAAUGCUGACAUAAGUAACGAUAAAGCGGGUGAAAAGCCCGCUCGCCGGAAGACCAAGGGUUCCUGUCCAACGUUAAUCGGGGCAGGGUGAGUCGACCCCUAAGGCGAGGCCGAAAGGCGUAGUCGAUGGGAAACAGGUUAAUAUUCCUGUACUUGGUGUUACUGCGAAGGGGGGACGGAGAAGGCUAUGUUGGCCGGGCGACGGUUGUCCCGGUUUAAGCGUGUAGGCUGGUUUUCCAGGCAAAUCCGGAAAACCAAGGCUGAGGCGUGAUGA
rnacentral:rRNA from 1 species